AUUACCCAUGUUUCCGAUAUAGCAGAGUUGGAUACAAAUCGUUAUCUAGGGUUUAUAUUGUUUGCACGGUGGUAUCGUCUUGUUCCUCGCUCAUCGGCUUAGUCUUUGUUCAGUGUUAUCCUAAUCCUCCUGGAGUUGGAUCAAUGGGCCCUCAAAGUUCUGCUCCACCGUUCCCUAUGCUGGUGAUUCUGGCAGAGCAAGGACAUGCAACUUUGGGUUCGCAACUAUUUGUUCUUUUUGGCAUGGUAUAUCUUUACCUAAUGUUGGGAUGCCUGUUAGUUUGGGUCAGCCUCUACCGUUUUCUCAACCAAUGCAGCAAUGACCUCCAAGGCUUGGCCAGCCAAACAUACCACAGACCCAGCAGACUGGUUUAGGUGGUCCUGGAGCACCUUUCUCCUCAUCCUAUACUGGAAGUUUCUCCUCAUUGCAUACUUCUGCAUCAUCUUCUUUCGACCAGCAAACAAAUGUUACACCUGUGCAGGUGACUGGGCAACAACCCUCAGUUACUGCUGCAACAGUUCCAAUAAUGCAAUCAAUGCAAGUAUCAUUACUAGAGGCCGAGGACGUUAUUGGGAUCGGUGGAGCCAAUGUUGCUUACAUUCACCAUACUAAUGGAGCAAAUCUUAUUGUGUCAGAGACUGAGGGCAUUCCUGACGAGAUGACUGUCGAAAUGGAAGGCACCUCUUCAGAAGUUGAUAAUGCUCAACGACUUAUACAGGUUAGUGCUUUCAAUUUUAGCAGCUCACCCUGCUGCCUGUGGUAGAAGUGAAAUGGUUUUUGGCACUAGCAUCACUUAUUAUUAUUAUUGUUAUUAUGCAUUUCAUUAGUAUAAAAGGGAUCGAGUAAUCUGAAUCAUUAUGCUUAUUAUUUUCUCAUUAGACAUGGUUACAUAUGACAGCUGUCACCAUUUGUGAUACUAAACUGUCAACUUCCGGCACCAGGGAUUUCCUCAAUCCAUCAGAUUAGUGUCCGUUAUCUUUUAAAGAGAUCAAAUAGAAUGAGAAAAUAUUGUUUACUGCAUUGUAUUAGAGAUCAUCUUUUGUUACUUUGUACAGGUGGUCUUAUUGGUAAUUGUCCAUGUUCCAAAUUCCCUUAUUUAUUUUUUAAAUCAGAAAUUAUAUUAGUCAUGGAACUCGUUAUAUUCUUCAUUGAAGAAAUUUAUUGUACAAGGUUUCUUUUCACCUGAAACACUUUGGAAGGGGAAAAAAUAAUAACUAGAAGUAAAGCUCGGAAGGUUUUUCUUUACCUUCUUGGUAUCACCUUCCUUUUUGGGGGAGGGAGGUUGAGGGUUCAAGUUCUAAAUAGUGAAUGUGUGUAUGAGUACCUUACCCAGUCCCUUAACCCCACGGUCCCCACCCCACCACCAAUCAACCGGGAAAAAAAACCACUUUGUGAUAUGAAUAUUAGUUGCUGCAGGAGGUUAUUAAGAAUGGAACCAGCUCCAAGCAUCGAAAGCAUCUACAAGGACUGGUACGUACCCAUCAUGUUCAUUUGCAUCUGAGCCAUCGGGGGAAGGUAUGAAAAUUCUAAGUUAUAGAUUCUGGUAGAACUAAUCAUAUUUUCUUUCUUGGACUUCCUGGGACUCCAUUGUAGAAUGAUCUUGUGGUAGUCAAUAUUGUAAGGAGAAAAACUAAUUUUUAUGAAGACCGACCUGUUUGACCGACUCCCAUAUAGAGAACAAAGAAAAAUAUUGUGCGCUGGCAGUGAUUAGCUCGUGUGUUCUUGUGUAUGUUUCCUUUUUCAAGUUUUUGCUCGCAUAUACUAAAAUAGGAAUUAUUUUUUAAUGUAAUCAAGGUUUUAAUGACAUAAUAGUGAAAUUUUGAAUCUUGUGGCCAUGCCUAUUGGCAAAGAAAUCCUUAUUUAGUGAUUGGUAUUGUGAAGUGAAAUUGUAAGGCAGCUAAUCACAUUUUAUGCAAGUUGGUCGUCAUCACUGUAAAUGAAUGUUAUUUCUUGUAAGGUUUUGUUCUCUAAAUGGUGAGGAUUUGGACUUAACCAACUUGUACUAAAAGAGGCUGGCUUUGGCUUGCUUCUACAUAUUAAUGAGUAAGUGAUGAUGAUGAGGUCAUAAAAUAAUCAGAUAUAACUUUUGAACUACUAAUUAUUAUUAUUAUUCUAUGUUAAUAAGUGGUUAAUAAUUAACACAUCCAAAGUAAUUAACACAUCCACUUUGGAUCAUAAGUGAUCAGUGGAUGAUCGAUAUUCAAGCUUUAACAAGUAGAUAAAUCAACGUUAAUUUUCAGACUUUUUGUCCUUUUUUUUUUUCCCUUCCCAAUUGUAAAACAUUAAAUAGCAUUAGAAUAAAGAUGUACUGUAUCAGUCUAGCCCAUUUGCUACAUGUGGUUAUGGCACAGCAAGGACAGGCAACUUUGGGUUUUCAACAAUUUUGCCUUGAGUUUUCAGUCAACUAAAUUGUAUUUAGGAUAUUGUCAAAAUCUUUAGUAUGACACUUCAGGCCAAUCUUUGACUGGAUAAACUUGAAGAAAAUAAUAUUUCCCUUUGGCAUGAGUUUUGGUUCAUCUUAAUUAGUUUUAGUACUUGGUUCACUCUCUUUUCGCUGGCCAACAUUAUAAUAUCGUAACAUAUUUUUUGCUAAUCCUUUUUACAAUAAUUUAUAUUGUUUAGCCGUGUUUUUUUUGGCCUCUAAAUAUUUCUCCAAACCAACCCCCCCCCCCCCCCCCCUCCUUUCAUCUCUCUCUCUCUCCCCUGUAAAAGUGUCCUGGAGUUGGAUCAAUGGGUACUCAAAGUUAUGCUACAACGUUCCCUAUGCAGGUAAACUUCUCUCCUUUUUGAGUUACAUGUCAUUCUUUGUCUGCUUCUUCUUAAAAGGGCUAGCCCUGUGCACGAGGCUCCCUUAUCUGCUUCUUCUAAAAUUUAUAAUAUGAUCACCAUGAGCAAAUCAAUUUGCUAGAUGUGGUUCUGCACAGCAAGGACAGGAAACUUUGGGUUCGCAACAAUUUUGGCUUGAGUUUUCAGUCGACUAAAUUGAAUUUAGGAUAUUGUCAAAAUAUUUAUUAUGACAGUUCAGACCAAUCUUGGACUGGAUUAACUUGAAGAAUUAUAUAUUUUCCUUUGGCAUGAGUUUUUGUUCAACUUAAUUAGUUUUAGUACUUGGUUCAGUCUCUUUUUCCUGCCCAAGAUUAUAAUAUCGUAAAAUAUAUUUCUGCUAAUCCUUUUUACAAUAAUUUAUAUUGUUUAGCUGUGUUAUUUUGGCCUUGAAAUAUUUCUCUCUCCCUCCCCCCUCCCUUCUUCUCCUCCUCCGCGUCAUUCCUUAUCUGCUUCUUCUAUAAGGGGCUAGCCUAGUGCACGAGCCUCCCUUAUCUGCUUCUUGUAAGAUCUAUAAUAUUUCACUCUGAGCAAAUCCAUUUGCUACACGGGUUUCUGCCACAGCAAGGACAUGCACCUUUGGCUUCGCAACAAUUUUGUUGUUCAGGUUCGCAUGGUAUAUCUUCACCUAAUGUUGGGAUGCCUUUUAUUCUGGGUCUGGUUCGGCUUCUGCUGUUUUCUCAACUAUUGCAGCAAUUGCCUACAUGGCAUGGCCUGCCACUGCCAAACAUACCACAGACUGAGCAAACUUGUUUAGAUUGUCCUGGAACACCUUUCUCGUCAUCCUAGAGUGGAAGUUUCUUCUCAUCACAUACUAAUCCUCUUGGGGCUCAAGAAUCACAGCCAUAAACAAUGGCGGCAAUUUAAGUAAUAUCUCUAACAGUAGCAGAAUUUCUGAACAUGAGGAAAUGUUGAGGCAGAAGACAUUUACCAGAUCUGAUAUUGAUCGUUUGACAGAAUUGUUGCAUUCAAGAUCUGUUGAUUUACCUGUGGGGAACGAGAACAGAAAGACUGAAGCAAAUCUUCCAAAGCCACCAUCUGCUUUUGAGAGGAAGGACAAAUUUGCAAAUACUCCAAUGCUAAAAUCUGGGACUGAGAAUUGUCGAUUACAUGGAGGCAUUUCUACUCCUAUUGUCAGUUCAAGAGUCCGUGAAGAGGAUGUUGCUUCACCUGCUGAGCUUGCCGAAGCUUACAUGGGAAGUAGGCCUUCAAAGGCAACAACGUCAAUGUUAGCUUUGCGCAGUCAAGCACCGAGGGAAGAUGCAACUUUGCUAAAUAAUACACAAUUUUCUCCAAAAUCAUCCAUCAUGUCACUGACUCCAAAAUCUGCUUUACGUCUUGGGGUCACUGAAAAUGGGUUUUACCACCCAAGGUCUCACGGCAGACCUGCAAUAUACAAUAUGGCACAGACACCGUAUUCCGGGAUUUAUUCCACUGCUAACCAAAAGGGUGUCAAGUCAAUAAGUGAUGGUUAUGGUGAACCAUCAUCAUUGUCACAGUAUGCAUGGGAGCAAGAUGGAUGCGUUGGAUCUAAACAAUUGGCACGUAAACGUAGAAGUUCUGUCUUAGAUAAUGAUAUUGGAUCUGUUGGUCCCAUACGCAGAAUUCGACAAAAGAUUAAUCUUCUCUCUCCUAGGAAUACCAGUGUCUGGAGGUCCAGUGAGAAUAUGGGGAUAACAGCAUUUGUAGUUCAAGUUUCACCCAUGUUCCUGCUAAAUCUACUGAGAUGGCUACAAAAAUAUUGCAGCAGCUUGAAAGGUUGAGCCUGAAGGAGAAAUCAUCCGAGGCCAGGCUAGCUGCUGAAAGGGAUAAAUCACCCGCUAAGUUGACACCAAGUGGAAAGGCUUUUAGAAGCCCGGAAGAUGUUGAUGCAUCAAGGUUUCUUCAGAAUGCCAAAGAUGGUCGUAAGUUGGAGGAUUCUCGCACAACACCAUUUUACCUGAUGUUCGGGACUCUUCUCAAAAGCAAGAAAAAAUUGAAGAAAAUGACCCAAAAGCAUUGUGCAUUCCGACAUGUCAACUCCUGCAGUAAAUAGUGUGGAUGCUACAGUUUCAGUUAAAGAUACUGUACCCAGUUUUAAAAAUACAGGUCCUGCUACUGCAAAUUUUGUCGCUUUACCUCCACAAAAGAAACGGGCUUUUCAGAUGAGUGCGCAUGAGGUUGGAGUUGCUGUAGUCUGGAAAAAAAGUUUCCUGGUUUCUAAAAAGGAAGUGAAAUGUGGCUGGCAUGAACUAUUAUGGGUUGAUAAUGCUGUCACUGGAGUUAAAUACUUGUAUAUAAAAAAAAAUGCUGUCACCGGAGUUAAGUCAGCAUAUGAAUAUCUUCCAAGUCUGUUGGCUGUUUUUUCUUGGUUUGAUUUAGAGAAGACUAUUAUUUGAUGUGUUUUAGUUGUUUAUAAUAUGUUUUCCUUGUUCUAUUUAAUGUUCUUGUGAAUGUGCUACAAAAUCUAAUUUUAUGGUUCUUUUAUGAAGGAUUCUCUGGAGCUGGAUUAUGAUGUACAUUCUAAUGGUGGCACCUCCAAACCACUGAAAGGGAGAGAAAAACUGAGGGCGUCUGUGGUGGAAAGCAAGGCUGUUGGUACUGAAACUGAAGCAGUGGACAAAAAAUCAGCUUCAUGUGAAGUCAAGCCUCCUGCAGGUUCUGAAUUCGGCCAAAGAAUUGGUUUGGAGACUAAUAAUGGGUCUGUGGUGGGUGAGAAAAGUUUCAUCUUUACCUUCCCCCUACAGCUGCUCCCAGCUCGACUCUCCAGCCAACUUUGCGUACUCCACAAUCAACCUCAGGAAUUGAUAAAAUUGUUCCAUUAAAAGAAGCAGGUGUUCCACCUCCCUUGUUUAGUUUUGGUUCUAAAAAUGUUGAUAAAGUUCCACCAUUUGAAAUUCCUUCGUCUCCUGCUAGUGAAUCUUCAGACCUCAAAUCUAGUGCUUUGUCGGGCUCGAAUGGGUCAGUUCUCUCUCUCCUCAUAAUAUCAUUUCUGAUGAUUUGAACAUUUAUUUUGGCUUUCCUUGCUUCAAAUUUGUUAUAAGCUGAUGCAUAUUGAGCAGUGGGGAAAAAUUGUUUUGAAUGAAAAUUAAAAAACUAAAAUGCAGAAACCGCAUAUUGAUAGGAGCUGCAUUUAUUCCAAAGAACAAGUAAAGUUACCCUUUGAGGCUCUCUUGACCUGUAUAAAACUAUAUAUACAUCAAACAAAUAUUUUAGUAGCACGCAUUCAAUUUGUGAGAUGAAAAGUAUCCGAAAUGCAGGAAACCACACAAAUUGAAGAGAGUUGCAUUUAUUCCCGAAAUUGAAUAUAAGUUACCUUUUAAUGCACUCUUGACCUGUAUACAUUUGUGUGUGUGUGUGUGUGUAGUAAAAAGAAAUAUUUAGUAUUCAAUUGGUGAGAUGAAAACUCCACUCAUACAAUAAUACUCUGUUCCUCCCUUCCAAACACUGUACAUUGAAGAAGGGGGCCCCCUUCAAUUAAAGUGAGUUUACCAUUUUGUUAAUUUAGUUAAUUUAUCCAUUGAAAAGAUUAGUAAUUGUUCUUGGUAGAACCAAACAAAUCUUUGGAGAGGUUACCACAAGUCUUGGGCCAUUGGUGCUGCAGUACAAUCUGUUCACACAAUACGUACUAGUGUUUGACAAUAUGUCAAAAUUGUGACCUUGCAUUUUGGAUGUGUCCAAACCUUUUGAAUUGAAAUGUAUGGUUUUGAACACUUAUAUUUCCUAUAAGUGAAUACUAUUUAUGCAUACGUACCGUGCACACUCUUUUUUCAGAAAAGAGUGAUAUUUAACCUUUGCAUGUGUAGAAAAAAACUCAGACCAUGUAGGAUGUUUUAUACCUUACUAAUGUUUGACAACAUGUCAAAACUGUGACCUUGCAUUUUGGAUGUGUCCAAACCUUGUGAUUUGAAAUAUAUGGUUAUGAACACUUAUAUUUUCUGUAAGGAAUACUGUUUAUGAACACUUAUAUUUAACCUUCGUGUGUGUAGAAAAAAACUACCGUGUAGGAUGUUUGGCAUACUGGGAUUUUGAGAAAGCAGUCACAAUCUUUUUUGGGCAUUUAAUCUUUUAUACAUUUCUUUACUUUCCUUUUUCUUUUACUAUUUUAAUCCUUCUUGUCAUAAUGUCCUCUUCAACUACUUAUCAAAAAAAUAUAUAUAAUAUCCUCUUCAACCAAAAGACAGAAGAAAUUACUUGAUCUGCUGUGCUAUGGUACUCUGCAUGAAGACCUGUUGAAACUAAUUGCAGUUGAAAGCUGCAACUACAUACAUUGAUUAAAUAAGUAUGAUUGUCCAAAUGUGCAUAGUUACAUAUGCAAGCACCUUUUUUGGGAUUUUUGGUAAAAGUGUGAUAUAUGGGGGAUUGAUGAUUAUUGGUGGUUUUGUUUACUAUUCCAAAAUUUUGUGUUCUGGUCUGCUGGAUGGUACUUUCUGUUUCAGUUCCCUGAGAUAUCUCCGCAUGAAGUGGACAAGAUCCAGCCAUUUAUUUUUAAUACAACCAUAAUAAGGGGAAAAAAGGGGGAAAAGAUAAAUAUGGUCUCCAAACUUUUUUUUUUUUUUUCAA